rnacentral:rRNA from 1 species
UACGUAGGGGGCAAGCGUUGUCCGGAUUUACUGGGCGUAAAGGGCGCGUAGGCGGAUAGUUUAGUCAGAGGUAAAAGCCCAGGGCUCAACCUUGGAACUGCCUUUGAUACUGGCUAUCUUGAGUUCGGGAGAGGUGAGUGGAAUGCCGAGUGUAGAGGUGAAAUUCGUAGAUAUUCGGCGGAACACCGAGUGGCGAAGGCG